GAUGAACGCUGGCGGCGUGCCUAAUACAUGCAAGUCGAGCGAACGGACGAGAAGCUUGCUUCUCUGAUGUUAGCGGCGGACGGGUGAGUAACACGUGGAUAACCUACCUAUAAGACUGGGAUAACUUCGGGAAACCGGAGCUAAUACCGGAUAAUAUUUUGAACCGCAUGGUUCAACAGUGAAAGACGGUCUUGCUGUCACUUAUAGAUGGAUCCGCGCUGCAUUAGCUAGUUGGUAAGGUAACGGCUUACCAAGGCAACGAUGCAUAGCCGACCUGAGAGGGUGAUCGGCCACACUGGAACUGAGACACGGUCCAGACUCCUGCGGGAGGCAGCAGUAGGGAAUCUUCCGCAAUGGGCGAAAGCCUGACGGAGCAACGCCGCGUGAGUGAUGAAGGUCUUCGGAUCGUAAAACUCUGUUAUUAGGGAAGAACAUAUGUGUAAGUAACUGUGCACAUCUUGACGGUACCUAAUCAGAAAGCCACGGCUAACUACGUG
rnacentral:rRNA from 1 species